GCUGGCGUAGCUCAAUUGGCAGAGCACUUGUUUUGUAAACAGGUAGUUAGGGGUUCAAGUCCCCUCGUCAGCU
rnacentral:tRNA from 1 species